UGGGUUGUGUCCUUAUACUUGAUUGAGUCUCUGGAUUUCGGCAAUUUGCGGUAGAAAUUGGCCGCCGAAAUAGUGUUCCUGCCACCGAAUUUCAACGCGAUUUGCAUUCUUCUUUGAGAUGAUGAUGAUGAUGGUGCCUAUCUUCUUCUUAUUGUUGUUCGUUAACUACGGAAGUAUGACCGGACGAUGAGCUAAAUCACCGUAGAUAUGCCAGAGAAUCACUAAAAUAUCUUUUUUAUGGAGCACCGGUUCAAACCAUAAAGAAAUUUGAUGCCGGUUUGAACAAGAAGACGGUGGUUGUUAAUGCUAGGAAGAUGGACGAGGCGAUGGAACCAGCAGCGCUUGAGAAAGUGCCCCAAUGAAGAAGUCGUGAAAUUGCAGCCGCAGCAGCUCUGUAGGUGCACUUGGAUACUUUUCAAUAGUUUCUUUCACCGCAACUAACACUAUAAGCUCAGCUUCCAGACUACCAAACUCCUCAUAGAAGUUGCAACGGAGCUUUUGUCUGUUGAUGAGAGGUGGCAAGUAUAAAAAAAUACCCACGAAACUAAAAUCCAAGAUUAUUUCAAAGGAAAAGGACUUCGCGGUAGGAAGAUAAGAUAAUCCUGAUGUAUUUGCUAUAUGAGCAGAUCAUUAAUAUACAUUUAAUCCUUUUACUAAACAUUGAAAGAUUGCAGGAGAUUUAACAGUGAUUCUGAAUUGAAAACAGUAUUCUAGUGGAUAUUUAUUCCUCGCCAAGAACAACGUAUCAUCACUGUAUAACGCCAAAUUUAAACAAUACCUGCAGCAUCUACUUUAAGAAAAUAUUUCUUUGCAAUUCAAAUAAUUGUAGAGAAAAUGAUCAUAUUUUUUAGAUCCAAAUAAUUUCAAUCCAAUAGAAUUGGGUCUUGUUAUUGAAUGAGAAUGAAGAAACCUCAAAUGAAACCUCAAAUAAGAAAUUUUCGUUUCUUCUACUAUUAAAAUGGAAAAUUCCCAAUUAAAACUCAAAAAAAAAAAUCUAAAUCAGAAAGCAAAGAAGCAAUAAUCAUAACACUGGAAGUUGUAUAUCUGAUGAAAUAGUUUAAAUCGAAAGUCCAACAAAUUGUUGAUUUCCAAUAUCGCAAAAAAAAAUUAGGAAUCAGUAAACAUACCCAACAGAGAGAAUAUCACAAGAGUUGAGAUUUUUUUUUUAACAGAGAAAGCGUUAAUAUUGAAGACC
rnacentral:lncRNA from 1 species